rnacentral:rRNA from 1 species
GACGAACGCUGGCGGCGUGCUUAACACAUGCAAGUCGAACGGUAAGGCCCUUCGGGGUACACGAGUGGCGAACGGGUGAGUAACACGUGGGUGAUCUACCCUGCACCUCGGGAUAAGCCUGGGAAACUGGGUCUAAUACCGGAUAGGACUCCGGACUGCAUGGUCUGGGGUGGAAAGCUUUUGCGGUGGGGGAUGGGCCCGCGUCCUAUCAGCUUGUGGGUGGGGUGCUGGCCUACCAAGGCGACGACGGGUAGCCGGCCUGAGAGGGUGACCGGCCACACUGGGACUGGGAUACGGCCCAGACUCCUACGGGAGGCAGCAGUGGGGAAUAUUGCACAAUGGGCGCAAGCCUGAUGCAGCGACGCCGCGUGAGGGAUGACGGCCUUCGGGUUGUAAACCUCUUUCAGCAUCGACGAAGCGAAAGUGACGGUAGGUGCAGAAGAAGGACCGGCCAACUACGUGCCAGCCGCCGCAGUAA